rnacentral:tRNA from 1 species
GCAUGAAUGGUGUAGCGGUAACAUUCAACCCUUCCAUUACCGAAUGUGAGGUUGAGCUCGGGGUUCGACUCCCCGUUCAUGCA